rnacentral:rRNA from 1 species
GCAGUAGGGUGCCAUCAAGAGGGUGUAUGA